rnacentral:rRNA from 1 species
AACGAACGCUGGCGCCAGGCUUAACACAUGCAAGUCGAACGCCCCGCACGGGGAGUGGCAGACGGGUUAGUAACGCGUGGGAAUCUACCUAGAUCUACGGAACAACAGAUGGAACCGACUGCUAAUACCGUAUACGCCCUACGGGGGAAAGAUUUAUCGGAUUUGGAUGAGCCCGCGUUGGAUUAGCUAGUUGGUGGGGUCAUGGCCUACCACGGCGACGAUCCAUAGCUGGUCUGAGGGGAUGAUCAGCCACACUGGGACUGAGACACGGCCCAGACUCCUACGGGAGGCAGCAGUGGGGAAUAUUGGACAAUGGGCGCAAGCCUGAUACAGCCAUGCCGCGUGAGUGAUGAAGGCCUUAGGGUUGUAAAGCUCUUUCACCGAUGAAGAUAAUGACGGUAGUCGGAGAAGAAGCCCCGGCUAACUUCGUGCCAGCCGCCGCAGUAAGAC